GAAAAUAUAAAAUGGAUCUUUGAAAAACGUGUAAUCCAUCCUUCUCCAAUUUAAAUUUAUCUGAAGUCUAUUGCCAAUGUGAUGACUCUUGCUUUAUACCAUCACUUAUAUUUUUGAUAUCAAAGGGGAAACAAAUUUUAAGAGGGUUAUAUCCUAUUCCAUAAAGGUACAGUGGUUUAUUUAUAACAUGCCAUUUUUAUCAUAGGUCACUAGAGAGAGUAAUCAGGCUUUCUUUGAAAGAGUUCAGAAUGGUAAAACAAAAACAAAAUCUUAGUCUGGAUUUUUUACCAAUAUAUUAAAUUUCUGUAAAAUAAUUUACAUUUAUAUAACAACAUAGAGUAUAGUGAAAGGGAUGAAACCUUUAAAGAUUUUAUUUAUUUAUUCAUCAGAGACACAGAGAGGGAGGCAGAGACAUAGGCAGAGGGAGAAGCAGGCUCCCUUUAGGGAGACCGAUGUGGGACUUGAUCCCAGGACUCCGGGGGAUCAUGACCUGAGCAGAAGGCAGAUGCUUAACCACUGAGCCACCCAGGCAUCCCGAGAUGAGACCUUUGAAGUCAAACUGGAUUGUACUGGAAUCUGGUUCAGUACCAGAUUGGUUCAGCCCUUCCAAACCCAUUCCCAGACUUCUCCACUUCCCCCAACGUUCCACAGAAAGGCUGAGAGGUUCUGGCGUUAUUGAGACUCCGAGUGGAACAAAACACAGUCCCUGUCCUCAGUAGAAAGAACAUCAUAGUGAUUGAUGCAAGAAGUCCACAAGAGGCUCAGAAGAGACCUUUUUAGAGUACCUCAGAGCACAAAGGAUGGAGCAGCUGAAUCUUCCGGGAGUGAUCACGGGAGGCUGCCCAGAGGAACUUGAGCACUAUUAUUUGAAGCCCAUUUUCUUGAGAAUCGAGGAGAUGCCGGGGAAAGGACGUAACUCGUGUUCACUGCCAAGUUUAAGAAACCUCGAGGCAUGUGGGGGAACUGGUGAACAUCCCAACAGGAGUCUGUGCAGAGGGAAGGACCUCCCCGGGGAGAUCUCAUCCAAAGGCAAGAAGGCUGCGAAGGCCAGCAGGGCCUGAAGAAGAGGCCUUUUUGCCUUGGAAGGGGGUAGCACAGCUACAGCACAGUGGUGACUGUCACCUAACCACUGAUAGCAUGUUUGGGUCACUGGGACGAGGAGCAUUGUGUAACACCCCAAAGAACUGUUUUUACCAAAACCUGUAACAUUUUUGACCCAAGACACAUUGCUUUGGGGAACCAUUCCAGUAGCUUUCAACAUGAAUAGGAGAGCCAGCUUCCUCCUGUCGCACAAUAUGACCUUGCAGUUCGACACCUCGCAGACCCAGGAGGGCGCCUAGAUGGGACUGUGCGGAGUCUGAGGGACCUCCAGGGAGGAGGACCCCCCAUGGGGAAGCAACACAAGGCAGCUUGGGUGCUUGGUGCAGCUGUCACUGGCACCUUGGGGCCCCUGUCCCAGCUAAGGGAGAGAUUGCCGUACCCAGAGAAGGCACUAAAGUUCUAAGUAGACACAGUGAGCAGGUUAACAGCAGUGCCUGGGGGAGCAGCUUGGACGGUGGUGUGUAGGCGGGUGGGCGAGCACACGUGACACCCCUCACGGGGACCCCUCAGACAGGGAGUGUC